GAUGAACGCUGGCGGCGUGCCUAAUACAUGCAAGUCGAGCGAACAGACGAGGAGCUUGCUCCUCUGACGUUAGCGGCGGACGGGUGAGUAACACGUGGAUAACCUACCUAUAAGACUGGGAUAACUUCGGGAAGCCGGAGCUAAUACCGGAUAAUAUAUUGAACCGCAUGGUUCAAUAGUGAAAGACGGUUUUGCUGUCACUUAUAGAUGGAUCCGCGCCGCAUUAGCUAGUUGGUAAGGUAACGGCUUACCAAGGCGACGAUGCGUAGCCGACCUGAGAGGGUGAUCGGCCACACUGGAACUGAGACACGGUCCAGACUCCUACGGGAGGCAGCAGUAGGGAAUCUUCCGCAAUGGGCGAAAGCCUGACGGAGCAACGCCGCGUGAGUGAUGAAGGUCUUCGGAUCGUAAAACUCUGUUAUUAGGGAAGAACAAAUGUGUAAGUAACUAUGCACGUCUUGACGGUACCUAAUCAGAAAGCCACGGCUAACUACG
rnacentral:rRNA from 1 species